AUGCAUGAGGACCACAAGAAUUCCAGUCAUGACAACAGCAGGAAGGAUCAGCCAGGAGGGCAUUAUCCUCUUAUGCCUGCAAAUGCAAUUUUAAAUUGGAAUCUGAAUGAAGAUCUUUCUUGUGGGCACAUCUAUCCUGAUUCCUCUCUGAAAUACCUGGCCCUGACUGGCUGCUUUGGCAAGUCUUUCAGAAGUUGUUACAUUAAGAAAACAUUGAAGAUGAAUAUUUUCUCAGGUCAGUCUCCCAAAGCAAUACAAAUUAGAGUAUGUUUUUUAAGUAUGCUAACCCCUUCCCAUAAUUGUGUGUUUUAGCCUGAUGGUCCUGUAAGUUCAAACACUUCAUUACUAUAUUAAAAUUAAGAAGAGAGACAUACAAACAAACAAAAAGGGUUAUUUACUUCCUAACAUCCCUUGCCCACAUUUUAUGGUUUUGAUGACUCUUUUUUAUUUUUUUCUUUUUAAUUUUAUUUUGUUUGAAGCAUGUUCAUGAUUAAAUCUGUAUGCUGGCUUAUCUGAGUGACUGCUCUCUGAUUGCGGUUUCCUCAGUCCUAGUUCUUCCUCUUCUUCUUCUUUUUUUUUUUUUUUCCUUUUCUUUUUUCUUCCCUUUCCUUCCUUUCUUUUCGGUUUAGAGAAGCCCCUUCAAUAUUUCCUUUAACCUGGGUUUUGUGUUGCUGUAUUCUUUAAGUUUUUGUUUGUUGGGGAAAAUUUUUAUUUCCCCUUCUAUUUUAAAUGAUAUUCUUGCUGGAUAGAGUAUUCUAGGUUGCAUAUUUUUUCCUUUUAGCACUUUAAAUAUCUCUUGCCAUUCCCUCCUGGCCUGUAGUGUUUCUGUAGAGAAAUCAGCUGAUAUUCUUAUGGGGGUUCCCUUGUAAGUAACAUUCUGUUUUCUCUCGCUGCCUUUAGGAUUUCUCUCGCUGCCUUUAGGAUCCUCCCCAUAUGGCCCUGCAAUCCCACUCUUGGGCAUCUAUCCGGACAAAACUCUACUUAAAAGAGACACAUGCACCCGCAUGUUCACUGCAGCACUAUUCACAAUAGCCAGGACAUGGAAACAACCCAAAUGUCCAUCGACAGAUGAUUGGAUUCGGAAGAAGUGGUAUAUAUACACAAUGGAAUACUACUCAGCCAUAAAAAAGGAUGACAUAACGCCAUUUGCAGAAACAUGGAUGGAACUAGAGACUCUCAUACUGAGUGAAAUGAGCCGGAAAGACAAAGACAAAUACCAUAUGAUAUCACUUAUAACUGGAAUCUAAUAUCCAGCACAAAUGAACAUCUCCUCAGAAAAGAAAAUCAUGGACUUGGAGAAAAGACUUGAGGUUGCCUGAUGGGAGAGGGAGGGAGUGGGAGGGAUCGGGAGCUUGGGCUUAUCAGACACAACUUAGAAUAGAUUUACAAGGAGAUCCUGCUGAAUAGCAUUGAGAACUAUGUCUAGAUACUCAUGUUGCAACAGAAGAAAGGGUGGGGGAAAAACUGUAAUUGUAAUGUAUACAUGUAAGGAUAACCUGACCCCCUUGCUGUACAGUAGGAAAAGAAAAAAAAAAAAGAAAUUAGAGCAAAAAUAAACCAAUGGGACCUAAUCA
rnacentral:lncRNA from 1 species